rnacentral:rRNA from 1 species
GACGAACGCUGGCGGCGUGCCUAAUACAUGCAAGUCGAACGCUGAAGGAGGAGCUUGCUUCUCUGGAUGAGUUGCGAACGGGUGAGUAACGCGUAGGUAACCUGCCUGGUAGCGGGGGAUAACUAUUGGAAACGAUAGCUAAUACCGCAUAAUAGUAGAUGUUGCAUGACAUUUGCUUAAAAGGUGCAAUUGCAUCACUACCAGAUGGACCUGCGUUGUAUUAGCUAGUUGGUGGGGUAACGGCUCACCAAGGCGACGAUACAUAGCCGACCUGAGAGGGGGAUCGGCCACCCUGGGACUGGGGCACCGCCCCGACCCCUACGGGAGGCAGCAGUAGGGAAUCUUCGGCCAUGGACGGAAGUCUGACCGAGCAACGCCGCGUGAGUGAAGAAGGUUUUCGGAUCGUAAAGCUCUGUUGUAAGAGAAGAACGAGUGUGAGAGUGGAAAGUUCACACUGUGACGGUAUCUUACCAGAAAGAGACGGCUAACUACGUG